AACGAGCGCUGGCGGCAGGCUUAACACAUGCAAGUCGAGCGCCCCGCAAGGGGAGCGGCAGACGGGUGAGUAAUGCGUGGGAAUCUACCUUUUGCUACGGAAUAACGCAGGGAAACUUGUGCUAAUACCGUAUGUGUCCUUCGGGAGAAAGAUUUAUCGGCAAGAGAUGAGCCCGCGCUGGAUUAGCUAGUUGGUGGGGUAAAGGCCUACCAAGGCGACGAUCCAUAGCUGGUCUGAGAGGAUGAUCAGCCACAUUGGGACUGAGACACGGCCCAAACUCCUACGGGAGGCAGCAGUGGGGAAUAUUGGACAAUGGGCGCAAGCCUGAUCCAGCCAUGCCGCGUGAGUGAUGAAGGCCCUAGGGUUGUAAAGCUCUUUCACCGGAGAAGAUAAUGACGGUAUCCGGAGAAGAAGCCCCGGCUAACUUCGUGCCAGCCGCCGCGGUAA
rnacentral:rRNA from 2 species